AGUCGUACGCUUCUUUUCCACCGGAGCUUGCUCCACCGGAAAAAGAAGAGUGGCGAACGGGUGAGUAACACGUGGGUAACCUGCCCAUCAGAAGGGGAUAACACUUGGAAACAGGUGCUAAUACCGUAUAACAAUCGAAACCGCAUGGUUUUGAUUUGAAAGGCGCUUUCGGGUGUCGCUGAUGGAUGGACCCGCGGUGCAUUAGCUAGUUGGUGAGGUAACGGCUCACCAAGGCCACGAUGCAUAGCCGACCUGAGAGGGUGAUCGGCCACAUUGGGACUGAGACACGGCCCAAACUCCUACGGGAGGCAGCAGUAGGGAAUCUUCGGCAAUGGACGAAAGUCUGACCGAGCAACGCCGCGUGAGUGAAGAAGGUUUUCGGAUCGUAAAACUCUGUUGUUAGAGAAGAAUAAGGAUGAGAGUAACUGUUCAUCCCUUGACGGUAUCUAACCAGAAAGCCACGGCUAACUACGUGCCAGCAGCCGCGGUAAUACGUAGGUGGCAAGCGUUGUCCGGAUUUAUUGGGCGUAAAGCGAGCGCAGGCGGUUUCUUAAGUCUGAUGUGAAAGCCCCCGGCUCAACCGGGGAGGGUCAUUGGAAACUGGGAGACUUGAGUGCAGAAGAGGAGAGUGGAAUUCCAUGUGUAGCGGUGAAAUG
rnacentral:rRNA from 1 species